GUAUUUACCAUCUUCUGUUACCUGAGAUAUGAAAUGACAGAAACAAAAAUAAUAAAGUUACGAAUAGUUAAGAGUCUCAUCCAAAAAAGUAAUUUAGGAAACAAGGUUCUGUUUAAAUGGUUUCAAGCCAUAUAAUCACUAAUACCUCCUCCCCCACUGCCCCACUGAGAGAGACAAUGAUGAUGAUGAUAGAAGAAAGAAUAAAUGAAAGUAAAGCUCUUUAGAAUUCUAUGCGUGUUCGGCAAUGCAAUAAAAAAAAGGACCUUAAGAAAUUAAAAGCUCAACAUCACUUGAUAAGCAGAAGAUGUUCAUAAUCUUUCUGGUAAACUAUAAAAAUAAAAGCAUUACAAGAACGACCAAAAUGCCAAAAAAGACAGUAUUCAUUAAUUCAUAUAGUUAUACUAUGGCAUUGGUAGGCCAAUCGACAUUUAUAGUUUCUUAAUGCAUAUUAAUGAAACACACCUCUUCACGAAUCAUCUGUAGA
rnacentral:misc_RNA from 1 species